UACGUAGGUGGCAAGCGUUGUCCGGAUUUACUGGGCGUAAAGAGCGCGCAGGCGGUCGUUCAAGUCGCGUGUGAAAGCCCCCGGCUCAACUGGGGAGGGUCACGCGAUACUGAUCGACUCGAAGGCAGGAGAGGGUAGUGGAAUUCCCGGUGUAGUGGUGAAAUGCGUAGAUAUCGGGGAGGAACACCGGUGGCGAAGGCGGGUCUCUGGGCAUUUC
rnacentral:rRNA from 1 species